UACGAGGGGGCUGUACUGUGGAUGUUAUCUUGAGUAAGCAAAAAGACUACCUUCCUUGCCGGACCCUAGACACAGAUUUGCAAAAGUCACUGGCACAAAAAAAUUUAAAUUCCUACACUGAGAGAAGGGGCUUUAGCCACCCAGUCACACAUCCCCCACAUCUCCCACAUCCCCCACACACUCCCCCCUUUCUUUCUACGCCGGUGAUUUGUAAUGACUAGCCUAGUUUUCUGAAGAGCAUCUCUUAUAAUAUUCAUUACUGUUGACUUAUGUGAUCAUGAUUUUAUAGCCAAACAUCACAGGCAUGAUCCUCACAGGCUCAACAAACUUCGAAACAGAACUGAUUGAGCAAAUCAGACAUGUUUGAUCCAGCAAGUGAUUAGAUUAAGUGCAGUGUAGAGUGUUGAAGCUGGUUGAUGUACUUUGCUUAUGGUGGAAAGAUUCGAUCAGAUGAUCGAAUUGGCGGCUGAAGUGCUGCAGAAGAUGUUUAUUCAAGAGAAGAAGCUGAUUGGAAGAUACUUUGAUGAGAUUCUCGAAAUACAGGAAAGUACUGCUUUGGUGUUGUUGACGCUCUCAAGGCAUUGGAAAUGAGCUCUGUUGAAACACUUAUUGUAUGGGAGGGUUUAGAGACGACAAGAUUUGUGAUGAGAAAUCAUCAGUCAGAUGAAGAGAAAGUGAUGUAUCUCGAUCCUGAACAGGCCUGCUAAGUGAAGCAAAGCAAAGAUGCUAAUCACGUGUGGUGUAGUUGCCACAUUAUGUGAGUCACGUGAACAUCAAUUGUCCACGCAUGCGUGUUGCCAAUGGACAGAAAUGCAAUUAUUUUGUUGUAAGUCAUUGCUCAUGACUAUUAUCUAUUAUUGUUAAUAAUAAAUAAAUAUAAACAAUUGAA